AACGAACGCUGGCGGCAUGCCUAACACAUGCAAGUCGAACGGGAUCCUGGUUUCGGCCAGGUGAGAGUGGCGGACGGGUGAGUAACGCGUGGGAACCUGCCCAGUGGUGGGGGAUAACUGCGGGAAACGUAGCAGCUAAUACCGCAUGAGCCCGAAAGGGAAAGAUUGAUCGCCAUUGGAGGGGCCCGCGUUCGAUUAGGUAGUUGGUGAGGUAACGGCUCACCAAGGCUUCGACGGGUAGCGGUCUGAGAGGACGAUCAGCCACACUGGCACUGCGACACGGGCCAGACUCCUACGGGAGGGCAGCAGUAAGGAAUAUUGCGCAAUGGGCGAAAGCCUGACGCAGCGACGCCGCGUGGGGAGUGAAGGUCUUCGGA
rnacentral:rRNA from 1 species